rnacentral:rRNA from 1 species
UACGGGGGGGGCAAGCGGUUGUUCGGAAUUACUGGGCGUAAAGGGCUCGGUAGGCGGCCAACUAAGUCGGAAUGUGAAAUCCCCAGGCCUUAACCUGGGAACUGCAUCCGAUACUGGAUGGCUUGAAUCCGGGAGAGGGAUGCAGAAUUCCAGGUGUAGCGGUGAAAUGCGUAGAUAUCUGGAGGAAUACCGGUGGCGAAGGCGGCAUCCUGGACCGGCAUUGACGCUGAGGAGCGAAAGCUAGGGGAGCAAACGGG